UUUUGAACUUGUAACUUACUGCUUACACUUAUAUAAAAAUGGAUCAUAUGUAUAUGUACGUGCAAAAUUGUAGAAGACUAAGUGAGACUAGCAGCACUGGGGGCCAAUCUUCAUAAUAAUGGAGAGAGAAUAGGGCUACAAUUGUAAAACAGAUCGAGCACCCAAAAAUCCUCAGUUAAUUACAGAAUGUAGUACAAGCUAUGUGGCGCCAAGAAGAAGGUGGGGGGGUACCAGCGCGAAUCCAGCACGGGUUCCGGUGGUAGCGACUCCCGGCGGCCAGGGUGGCGGCGGCGGCGGCGGUGAAAUACGAGCUGGGCGCUACUUCAGCAGGGCAGGGGAUGAUGCGGAGAAUAGAUAGGGGAGGAGAGCAAGAGGAGGCGCACCUGGAUCAACGGACGUCGCCGCCUCGCUGGAGAAGGUCACGCGGGAACGGCGGCGGCGGGCCGCGGGCCGGCGGCGUUGCCGCUCUAUUUCUGCGGGAGCCGGGAGCGGACGGCAGAUCGACCCGACGUGCCCUACGGCCCUACCCACUCCGACCCGCCCCAACCCGCAUCGCAGUGAACCCAACCCGCCCCGGCCCGCUAGCUAUCGAAACCCAUUUCCACCCAGCCCAUAGAACUCAUUUCGACCCACCCCAUUGCAUCACGCUGUUCAUUGCAUCGCAGCAGCACCUGAUGGACGGGAGGAAUUUAUCAAAAUAGGUCGUUCUAAACUGCCGCUCUGCAAAAUACGCCUGCGCUAGCUCAGGUCGUAAAAAUGGGUCGCUCAAGCGCUGUCACUCGCCAGGAGAGGUCACGACAGCUUCUGGCGUACCUGGUAGGUGGGCCCGUGUUGCUCCCUGCCGAUUUUGCCCUUACGGCCGUUCACAACGCCGUCUUCUCCCUCCAUUAACCGAAGCAUAUCGAGCUCUCAGUGUCCGCUCUCUGCUGCUCUCUGGCUCUGGAACGCCGCUCUCCUCGCGCUCUCAGUGUCCGCCGCCACCGAUCUUCACGGCCUGGCCGGCGACGGCGACGACUAACCCCACUCCUCCUCCUCUGCAGGCGAAUGUGCGGCAGCCGGCAGUGAGUGGGUUCAUCCAGAGGGUCGUGCAAGCCAUUGGAAUAGAACUGCGAAGACGUCUGCCACUCCUCCCCUUUGCAGGUAACUUUUGCCCACCCCACCCCUCUGUCACGGCGUCGCGGUGCUCAAUCCGGGCAGCUCCCAAGUUCUAUCGCCGCCGCGGCAGCGCCAUAUAUUCAAAAUAUGUUUGACCAUUAUGUGUAAUAAUUUGUGCUAACACUAGAUAUAGGUGGUGACAUUCCGUCUCCGAAGUCUACAUAUGAUAGUAGCCUUGUACUUGUGUCAGUUAGUGGCAUCCAAUCUUCAAGUGUGCCAAGUGGAGAAGGUGGACCAUCCGCUGUUUUAGAAACACAAGGUGCAGCUCCUAGUGGAGAAGGUGGACCAUCCGCUGUUUUAGAAACACAAGGUGCAGCGCCAAGUAUAGAAGGUGGAAGACCUCUUUUAUUACUAGGACCAUCCAGUGUAGCGCCAAAUCUUCCAACUACUCCAUCAUGCCAUGGCACUGGUCCUAGAAUGCUUAAAAAGAAGUUCACACCAAAAAAAAAGGAAGGCAUGAGUACCUGAUAUGUAAGAUUUGAAAUAUGUUGUGUGAACUAUGUGUUAUUUGAGACCAUGUGAAGUGUAAGAUUUGAAAUAUGUUGUGUGAACUAUGUGUUAUUUGAGACCAUGUGAAGUGUAAGAUUUGACAUAGAACUGUUGAGCUGCAUUCCCAGUUGAGACCAACAAUCUGUUCA